GUUGCCAAGGCCGCGCGGCCCUAGAGACCGGGUGCUGGUGGCACGCGCAAGCGCGGUGGCGAGCUGCGGUGCACUGUGGGAUGGGAGACCGGCGCGCCGGGACGGCGGGCAUCUCGGGGCACCGGGCAGAGGCGCGGCGCGCGAGGAGGGGCGCGAGCGGUCGCGGGCGGCAGCGCCAUGAACGCCGCAGUGGUGCGGCGGACGCAGGAGGCUCUGGGCAAGGUGAUCCGGAGGCCGCCGCUCACCGAGAAGCUGCUCAACAAGCCACCGUUCCGCUACCUGCACGACAUCAUCACCGAGGUGAUUAGGAUAACUGGCUUCAUGAAGGGCCUCUACACAGAUGCUGAGAUGAAGUCAGAAAAUGUCAAGGAUAAAGAUGCAAAAAUUAGCUUCUUACAGAAGGCCAUAGAUGUGGUCAUGAUGGUGUCAGGUGAACCCUUGGCAGCAAAACCAGCUAGAAUUGUGGCCGGGCACGAACCUGAAAGAACCAAUGAGCUGCUUCAAUUGAUUGGCAAGUGCUGCCUCAGCAAGCUCUCCAGUGAUGAGGCAGUGAAGAGAGUCUUAGCUGGGGACAAGGGGGACUCGAGAGGGCGGGCCCAGCGGACGUCGAAAGCACAAGAGCCCAACAACAAGAGUGGGAAGGAGGAAGAGUCCAGAAUACACAAAGAGGAUAAACGAAGCUCUGAGGCCAAGGAGAGAAGCGCAAGUGCAGAGCACAAACAGAAGGAGGAACUGAAGGAAGACAGCAAGCCUCGGGAGAAGGAGAGGGACAAGGAGAAGGCCAAGGAGGCCGACAGAGACCGGCACAGAGACCCCGACAGGGACAGAAACAGAGACGGAGAGCGAGAGAAAGCCCGAGCACGGGCCAAGGACAGGGACAGAAACAACAGAGACCGGGACAGAGAGGCAGAAAGGGACAGGGAGAGGGACAGGAGGAGCGAGGGCGGGAAAGAAAAAGAGAGGGUGAAGGACCGAGACCGAGACCGUGACAAGGGAAGAGACCGGGAACGGCGGAAAUCGAAGAAUGGAGAACAUACCCGGGAUCCUGACAGGGAGAAAAGCAGAGAUGCAGACAAGCCAGAGAAAAAGUCCUCAAGCUCAGGGGAGAUAUCUAGAAAGCUGUCAGAUGGAUCUUUCAAAGAUGUCAAAGCAGAGAUGGAGGCUGACAUUUCUGUGGGAGCAUCUAGGUCCUCGACGUUAAAACCAUCAAAACGGCGAUCGAAGCAUUCACUGGAAGGAAGAAGGGACUCUAGAGCCAGUGACAAUAACCCUUUCCCUGAAAAGGAACAUAAGGCUUCCUACCGUAAAGCUAAGAAGGACCAUAGCAUGAAGCAGCUUGGAAGGAAAGAGGAUAAUAUUUCAGCUAAGAUUUUAGACUCCAUAGUGUCGGGACUAAAUGACGAACCAGAUCAGGAAACGACCACUUCAGAAAUAGAUGAUAACUCAGCUAGUCUGUGGCGGGAGAGCGCUGAGCCAGAGCCAGCAGUAAAGCAGAAAGGUGACUCCCCCAGCGAUGCAGAAGUAGAAGCUGGACCUGCUGGCCAAGAUAAGCCGGAGGUGAUGGAGAAUGCGGAAGUUCCCAGUGAGCUUCCCUCCAGCCUCAGAAGAAUACCUCGGCCUGGGAGUGCACGGCCAGCACCUCCCAGGGUCAAACGACAAGAGAGCACAGAGACACUGGUGGUAGACAGGUCGGGAAGUGGUAAAACCGUCUCCAGUGUGAUCAUCGACUCCCAGAACUCUGACAAUGAGGAUGACGAGCAGUUUGUGGUGGAGGCUGCCCCUCAGCUGUCAGAAAUCGCAGACAUUGACAUGGUGCCGUCAGGGGAGCUGGAGGAUGAGGAGAAGCACGGUGGGCUCGUGAAGAAGAUCUUGGAGACGAAGAAGGAUUAUGAGAAAUUGCAGCAGUCUCUCAAGCCUGGUGAGAAGGAGAGAUCACUCAUCUUUGAGUCAGCAUGGAAGAAGGAGAAAGACAUCGUUUCCAAGGAGAUAGAGAAGCUCCGCGUGUCCAUCCAGACCCUGUGUAAGAGUGCGCUUCCCCUGGGAAAGAUCAUGGACUACAUCCAGGAGGACGUGGACGCCAUGCAGAAUGAGCUGCAGCUGUGGCACAGUGAGAACAGGCAGCAUGCCGAAGCCCUGAGCCAGGAGCAGAGGGUCUCACAGUUUAGCCUGGCUAGCCUGGUAUUCAUUUUGUAGACCAAGUUGGCCUUGAUCUCACAGAGAUCACCUGCAUUAUGAACAGUGUGAUUAAAGUAUCACAGACAGUGCGGUGGAGCCCCUGAAGGCCGAGCUUUCUGAGCUGGAGCAACAGAUCAGAGACCAGCAGGACAAGAUCUGUGCUGUGAAGGCCAACAUCCUGAAGAAUGAGGAGAAGAUCCAGAAAAUGGUGCACAGUAUCAACCUGUCGUCACGAAGGUGAAUGGCCAGUCCUGCAGAGAUGGAGCCAUCUUCCUCAUGACGGACAAGGGGCAGGAACCGCCCCUCUGAGCCCCAGUCUGCUGAGAAAUGGCCUGCUGUGCCCUGAGCCAGCUAAGGUCAGAUCUUUCGGUUUAGGCACUACAAUUAUUAAAAGGCUGUGUUUUCUUCCUUCCAGCUACAGUGCUUACUACUUAGAGCCUCCAGCUCGCCUUUGUGGGAGGGCUUAUUUCUUUGUUUGUUUUUUUUUUUUUGGCAAAUACAUUUCCUGCUGCAGCCUGGCUGACUCUGUACCCUGGUGUUCUGGAGGUAAGUUGUCUCAUCCUACUAGGUAAACAGCAGGCCCAGAGUUCUGCUUUUGAGUCUCCCAGGACUCCAUACUAGCACUGAGCAAAGGACAACUAUGAAUUUUUUGGUGGGUAUUUUAUAAAUAGAAUGAGGCCUAAAAUGGUUAAAUUGCCAUUUUCAUUUCUACCUGAGGGUGUCAUGUUAGCCCGUGUCCUUGUAAGGUGCCUGUCACCUGGGCGGGGUUGCUGCUCUCUUAUUGUAUAGGCUUCUUUCUGCAGCCUCCCCAUGACCCUGCUGUCUGCAUUUCUAGCCCUGAAAGCUCAUAGGUUGAGAAGGAGAAUUUAGCCCAGCCUUUAUGGGCAUUGUGUGAUGGGAACCUGCCUUGGCCACCGGCUUACUCCGGAUGGAUAAGCAGUCCCCCAGGCCUCUUUAAGAGGACAUUGUCGCAUGAAGGGCUGACAUGGCCCUUCUCUUUGGUGAAGGUGUGCUCUACAAGUUGGGAGUGAGGAGAGACUGAGAGGAAGAGAGUACUCCAAUUUACAUGUUGUGUUUGUUUUCCUUUUUAAAAGACCCUUUUCAAAAGCAAAGUUGUUUUUUUUUUAAUGGUUUAUAUUCAGUUUUUCACCUACUGUAAAUACUCAUUAAGGUCUUGAAUUACUGUAUGAAGGAUCUCACUGUGUCUGGAGAUGUUCUUACUGGCGUAAGGUCUGAAGUAGUCUUCCAUUUCUGGGUAUUUCUUUUGUGCACUGCAUCACACCCUGGGAUGUGUGAAGACUGCCUUAGCACACGAGGCACAGCCAGGGUUUCUCAGUCAGUGAAGGCAGAGCCCAGCUCUCGCCUGGGGGCCUGGACAGUGUGAGAAGCCCUUCAGCCCCUUAGUCUUUCCUGUCUGAAGCACACCGCACCACCCUGCCAAACAGAUGCUUCCAGAUAGGUUAGGGGAGGGAAGGAUUGCUUGUCAGCCAGCCUUUUGUGUGUUCAUGAGCUCUUUUCUACUGAAUUAAAUGACUUAGCCAUAACCCUAAGUGGACCCCAUAUAUACCAACGUAAUAUAUAUACAUAUAUGUAUAUAUACAUCCUUUUAUGAAUUUGUAUAUAUGAAUAGAAUUUUUAUGUUGAGAAAAUUACAUACAUUGUAUGUGAGUAAAUUUUUAUAUGCUGUAGUCAUCAGAUUGUAUCAUAAAGUUUUAUUUUUCUUUUAUAUGUAAAUCAUUAAAAUAAUCACCUAUUUUUCCUAUAA